GGAUAGCUCAGCUGGUAGAGCAGGAGACGCUUAAUGUCAGGGUUGUGGGUUCAAGACCCACGUUGGCCA